AAAGUGCUGGUGAGACAGCCAGGUGGCAAGCGGGUCCCCGGAAAAUCUCCAACCGACAUGCGCUCUGGGGUGGAGCCUCGCGAAGUUCGCGCUGUUUGCAGCCAGGAGGAGCCUGGCCCCUUCACUUCCUGUGUGGAACCUGGGAUUAGAAUGGUCAAGCAGGAAGCGUUCUAGCAGGGACUCUGGCCUAGAAAGAGUCCCUGUUAACUCCUUUUCACUCAAUAAAACUCUGUCUUACUCACCAUUCAAAUUGUCUGCAAGCCUGAAUUUUUGUGGCUGUGGGACAAAGAACGCCAUCUUUAGCUUCACUGAGGAAAAGUCCUGAAACAUUUUUGACCCUCAACAUGGGGCUCAAGAAGCGAUAGUCCAGAGGGCCCCUGAGACAUCCAGAAAAGAGAGGUAAACGGGAUGAUUUGACAUGUUUAGGCUUGUGAUAACUUUGGAGAUUGUGACAUUGGAAUAAAGGAAAAUCUACAGAACUAAUGAAGAGCUGAAAUGUUCAUGAAUAUCAACCAAAGCAAGAAUUAACUGAAUGAACGGAACUCAGAAAACUAAAGCAAAUCUUUUUGACUUUUGCUUGGAAUAUUGCUCAUCUUUGUUUUGUUUCUCAGAGUCAAGGAAACUUAUUUUGAACUAUUUAUGGCCUUUAAUAAUUAAGCAAGGUACACUUCUGUAACCAAAAUUUGGAGCAUGUUUGUUUCUCUCUGGUUCCUCUAAAAUUUGAAAACUAUCUGUGAGUAUUCGUGACUUACGGCAAUAUAGUUGUUUACAUCAGUGCAA